UACAUCCUCAACAACACAUGCACUGGAGCCGAGCACUCGUCCGGAGCCCGACCGGAGACUUCCAGCACGCACAGAUCCACUCAGACCAAACAGGAGCAGGAGGAGCCCGAGAAGCCCUUUGUCCCGGCCGUCACCAUUAAAGACGAACAC